rnacentral:rRNA from 1 species
CAGAAUGCUACGGUGAAUACGUUCCCGGGCCUUGUACACACCGCCCGUCACACCAUGGCAGUGGGUUGCAAAAGAAGUAGGUAGCUUAACCUUCGGGAGGGCGCUUACCACUUUGUGAUUCAUGACUGGGGUGAAGUCGUAACAAGGUAACCGUAGGGGAACCUGCGGUUGGAUCACCUCCUUA